rnacentral:rRNA from 1 species
GGUAAUGCCGGAUGUUCCACAUGAUCGCAUGUGAUUGUGGGAAAGAUUCUAUCGGCGUGGGAUGGGGUCGCGUCCUAUCAGCUUGUUGGUGAGGUAACGGCUCACCAAGGCUUCGACGGGUAGCCGGCCUGAGAGGGCGACCGGCCACAUUGGGACUGAGAUACGGCCCAGACUCCUACGGGAGGCAGCAGUGGGGAAUAUUGCACAAUGGGCGCAAGCCUGAUGCAGCGACGCCGCGUGAGGGAUGGAGGCCUUCGGGUUGUAAACCUCUUUUGUUUGGGAGCAAGCCUUCGGGUGAGUGUACCUUUCGAAUAAGCGCCGGCUAACUACGUGCCAGCAGCCGCGGUAAUACGUAGGGCGCAAGCGUUAUCCGGAUUUAUUGGGCGUAAAGGGCUCGUAGGCGGCUCGUCGCGUCCGGUGUGAAAGUCCAUCGCUUAACGGUGGAUCUGCGCCGGGUACGGGCGGGCUGGAGUGCGGUAGGGGAGACUGGAAUUCCCGGUGUAACGGUGGAAUGUGUAGAUAUCGGGAAAGAACACCA